GGAACUAAGCAUAUCAAUAAGCGKAGGAAAAGAACUAACAGGAUUCCCCUAGUAACUGCGAGUGAAGCGGGAAAAGCUCAAAUUUAAAAUCUGGUGGCCUUUGGUCAUCCGAGUUGUAAUUUAGAGAAGCGUCUUCCGCGCUGGACCGUGCACAAGUCUCCUGGAAUGGAGCGUCGUAGAGGGUGAGAAUCCCGUCUUUGGCACGGAYGCCCAGUGCUUCUGUGAUGCGCUCUCGAAGAGUCGAGUUGUUUGGGAAUGCAGCUCAAAAUGGGUGGUGAACUCCAUCUAAAGCUAAAUAUUGGCGAGAGACCGAUAGCGAACAAGUACCGUGAGGGAAAGAUGAAAAGCACUUUGGAAAGAGAGUGAAACAGUACGUGAAAUUGUUGAAAGGGAAACGCUUGAAGUCAGUCGCGUCGUCCGAGACUCAGCCUCGCCUCGGCUUGGYGUACUUCUCGGCCGACGGGUCAGCAUCAAUUUUGCCCCUUGGAUAAUGGCGAGGGAAAUGUGACACCUUUGCGGGUGUGUUAUAGUCUCUAGUCGCAUGCAAGGGUCGGGAUUGAGGAACUCAGCACGCGCCUUCGGGCGUCGGGGUUCGCCCACGAUACGUGCUUAGGAUGUUGGCGUAAUGGCUUUAAACGACCCGUCUUGAAACACGGACCAAGGAGUCUAACAUGCCCGCGAGUGUUCGGGUGGAAAACCCGUGCGCGCAAUGAAAGUGAAAGUUGGGACCUCCGUCGUGGAGGGCACCAACGCCCGGACCAGACCUUCUGUGACGGAUCUGCGGUAGAGCGUGUAUGUUAGGACCCGAAAGAUGGUGAACUAUGCCUGAAUAGGGUGAAGCCAGAGGAAACUCUGGUGGAGGCUCGUAGCGAUUCUGACGUGCAAAUCGAUCGUCAAAUUUGGGUAUAGGGGCGAAAGACUAAUCGAACCWUCUACUAGCUGCU
rnacentral:rRNA from 1 species